GCCCCUAGAGCUCCGUUGGUAGAGCAGACGACUUUUACGACUCCUGAGUCAUCGUCAGGUCCCGGGUUCGAGCCCCGGUGGGGGCU